GGGUGGAGUGUCCGGUCCGCCUCAUUUGGGGUGUGUACUUUGUGAUGACUCUGUCCAUCCUUGAGGAGCUACAUUCUGUCAUUGAUUUGUCGGUUUGUGGGACCUCAUCGUUUACUGUGAAAAAAUUAGAGUGUUUAAAGCAGGCUUACGCCGUUGAAUACAUUAGCAUGGAAUAAUAAGAUAGGACUUUGGUGGUCUAUUUUGUUGGUUUGCACACCAAGGUA
rnacentral:rRNA from 1 species